CCUACGGGAGGCAGCAGCGGGGAAUAUUGCGCAAUGGGGGAAACCCUGACGCAGCAACGCCGCGUGAAUGAAGAAGGCCUUAGGGUUGUAAAGUUCUGUCAUAUGGGAAGAUAAUGACGGUACCAUAUGAGGAAGCCACGGCUAACUACGUGCCAGCAGCCGCGGUAAU
rnacentral:rRNA from 1 species